rnacentral:misc_RNA from 1 species
UUGUGGUUUUACUGUUACCCCUGCCACUAAUAAUAUGUGUCAGAAAUGUUUUAACGCUACCACUAGCACCUCUAAUUCCACGACGGCGGCACCUGCAACUACAGCAUCAUCAGCCCUUGGUGUCUCAUCUGGGAGCGAGAUCUCGAGUAAAUCACCUAGAUCUAGCACAUCUCGAUCUCCUGUGAGAGAUCCGCUUCCGGAGACGUGUCAAAAGGCGGAGAUAUCGAUAGAUCGGGAAAAAUCCGACGUAGCGCUGGCUAGAAGGGAGGUGAAUCGGUGCUCGUGCUCAGGAUGCAGGAAGAAGGUUGGGUUGACCGGAUUUAGAUGCCGUUGUGGAGAGCUGUUCUGCUGGGAACA